CAUGGUUGUACAAUUUCUCUUUUGAUCCAUCUGCAAGUUCUUUUGGCAUUCUCAGCUCCCCAAUCUCUCUGACUAUAACAUUAUUUGCCUCAUCAUCGCUGAUUGGCACAGUGCUGUGUACAAGAUUUCCAAUGGGAGCAAUGGCUGCAUCGCGCUCCUCCUCCAAUUCUGCAAGCUUGGCCUCUGCGUCUUUAAUCGUC
rnacentral:rRNA from 1 species